UUUUAAGGAGUUACUCCAGGAGCCAGAUCUCAAGCUUGUGGAGGCGAAGGAUGUGCGUUGGCUGUCACAUGACAAGGCGACCACUACCCUGAGGAGGUGCCUUCCCUCUGUUUACAAAAGCUUGGAGCGUGAGGCCGAAGAAAGAAACGAUGCAAGGGCAGCUGGUCUCGCAAAAUUCUCUCAGAACUACCAGUUUGUGCUGACACUGCACAUGAUGUGUGACGUGCUUCCACAUCUUUCUGAUCUAUCCAAGGCAAUGCAUGCAAAAGAUGCAAUCUAAACAUGCAUCAAGCCUCUAGUCCUUGGAACUCUGGCCAUUCUUCAGGGCCUCUUGAAUACCCCAGGAGAACACUUCCAGGCAGCCCCCGAUAGAGUGGCCCGUCUCCAUGCCGAUGGCUUUGGCAUCGCUGUGCCCACUGAAGAGCAGGUCCAGCAUUUCACUGACAAGUUGUACCGGCCUUUUGUGCAGCAGCUGAUGUCCAACAUAGAAGAGCGAUUUCCAGACUUGCCAUUGCUGCAGCUCUUCGAGGCUUUCAACACCACCAAGUUCCCCACUGGAGAUAUGGGCAACCAUGGCGAACAGGACAUCAAGAAACUGGCUGACCACUUCAACCUUCCCGUUGACGCAACACUGCACAACUAGAGGCAGGUUCGAGGCAUCCUACAGGGCACAGAGAAGAAGGCUGAAGAGGCAAUGGAGUGGGUGACCAUCCAUUUGCGUAAUAGCCACGACCAGCUCUACAAGCUGGCAUCCGUUGGCCUGCUCCUCCCUACAUCUACAGCUGACUGCGAGAGGGGAUUCAGCACGAUGAAAAGGAUAAAGACGGAGAAUCGUGCUCGCAUGAAGUCUGCUGUCCUCAAUGCACUGAUGACGGUCAGCAUUGAAGGGCCAGACAUUGAGGCAGUAGACUUCGGGAAAAUGGUGGAUGCCUGGCACCAGGAGAAACCUCGCAGAACA